rnacentral:rRNA from 1 species
AGUGAACGCUGGCGGCGUGCCUAAUACAUGCAAGUCGAACGGAGUGGCGCGCGGGUGAGUAAUGUAUAGCUAAUCCGCCCUACACUAGAGGACUACAGUUGGAAACGGCUGCUAAUACUCUAUAGUGGAGGCGGAGGCUAUCUUGUAUCAGCUAGUUGGUGAGGUAAUGGCUCACCAAGGCUAUGACGCAUCACUGGUCUGAGAGGAUGAUCAGUCACACUGUAACUGAGACACGGUCCAGACUCCUACGGGAGGCAGCAGUAGGGAAUAUUGCUCAAUGGGGGAAACCCUGAAGCAGCAACGCCGCGUGGAGGAUGACACUUUUCGGAGAGUAAACUCCUUUUGUUAGGGAAGCGGUACCUAACGAAUAAGCACCGGCUAACUCCGUGCCAGCAGCCGCGGUAAUAC